rnacentral:lncRNA from 1 species
CAAAAGUCGGUAAAAAACUUUCAAAAUCCAGUUAAGAAAAAAACAUAUGUCGAAAUUUAACCGGUUUUUGAAAGACACUUAAGGAAUAAAAGGGGUGCAGAGUGAAGAGAGAGAAGAAAAAAGUAAAGAAAAAAGGUUUAAUACCUACUUUUGUUCUCUUAUUUGUUAGUUAUGUGAUAAAUUACAUGACCAUGUGACAUGGCAAUGUUAAAGGUUUUUAUUUAACUUUUUAUAUUUUUCUUUUUAUUUUAUUUUGUUCUUAAUAGAUUAUCAUAUUCUUCUUAUUAAACACAUUGUUAGCCACUACUGCUUGCAUUCAAACCACUAUUGGAAACGCCAAACCAAACCAUCACUGGAAAACCACAAACCGCAACCAUCACCGUCCAAGUGAAAAAAUUUUAGAAUCCCAAAUCAAAACCCUAGUCCUAAAUUGCGAGAUCAAAACAUGUAAAGAAGAAUUAAGAACAAAAACUCCAAAUAAUAAAACUUAAAUUCAACUUAUCAAAUCAUGAUCCCUAACCAAAAAAGGAGAAGACGAAACAUCCUACUUAGCCACCAGAAUUUGCGAGUUCGAAUCAAGACAAAGGAAAAGAAAAAAUUCCUAUGAAACUCGUAAGGACGCAUCCCAAGACUAGGUCUCUCAAAGAACUAAAAAAUAGAGGAAAAAAAAAUUCUAAUUAGAAUUUUAUGAUAGGGUUUAAUUAAGGAAAUGUAAAUCUAAUUCUAAUAGAGAGUUUAAUUAAGACCAAAAACUUUUAACAUUAUUAUAUCAUUUGGUAAAUAUAUUUUAAAGCUAGACAGUUAGUUAAAUAUUGACUAAUGUGAACAUUAUUUUGUUAACCUUUUAAACAUUGUCAACAAAAAAACUAAAUUAAAUUACUUUUACAAAAAUAUUAUAUUUUAAACAAUUAAAAAAAUAAAAUGAACAUUUUAAAUAAAACUAACAAAUAAGAUAAUCAAAAUAAAUAUUAAACUAAAAUAAGUAUUAAAUAAAAAAAUAUUUAAUAGAGGAUCGAAAGAUAUAUUUAUAAUUUUGAAAGUGAAAAGAAAAAGAAUAAUAGAAACAUUCAAAUAUUAAAAUUUAAAAUUCAAAAAGAAAAAAGAAAACUUACGAACGACACGGUCAAAUAAAGAUAGCUCGCGCGUGAGUUCGUCGGCGUGGAGAUGCUAAACGGCUGUAGCAUGCUCGUCGACGGCAGCCAGAUUACUGAUAGGCGGUGGGCACGUGAUUAGUAACAACUUUAGCAACAGCAGCUGGAGGCAAGUGCGACGGAGAUGGCGGUGCUUCGCAGUGAACGAUGCUCACAUGAAGGACAAAAGCUUUUGAAAAACGUGUAAGAAAAAAAUACCUAUUUUUGUUUUCGAAAAUGGCAUUAAAUUCCAUUUCAAUGACUGUUGAUGGAACACCUACUGCAUAAUUAAUUUUAUAUCUAUUUUCCUAUUUUCGUACCU